UACGUAGGGUCCGAGCGUUUGUCCGGAAUUACUGGGCGUAAAGAGCUCGUAGGUGGUUUGUCGCGUUGUUCGUGAAAACUCACAGCUUAACUGUGGGCGUGCGGGCGAUACGGGCAGACUUGAGUACUGCAGGGGAGACUGGAAUUCCUGGUGUAGCGGUGGAAUGCGCAGAUAUCAGGAGGAACACCGGUGGCGGAAGGCGGGUCUCUGGGC
rnacentral:rRNA from 1 species